UAAGUGCUACAUGUUGGGGUAG
rnacentral:miRNA from 1 species